GGAGGGUCGAGCUCAGCGGUAGAGAGUGUGCUUAGCAUGCACGAGGUCCUGGGUUCAAUCUCCAGUACCUCCA
rfam:Camelus ferus unplaced genomic scaffold scaffold1066, whole genome shotgun sequence.